AGUCUUCUUGCAUUUUCUCUUAUCUUUUCGUCUCCUCAAAGCUGGAGAGGAAAUCAAAAUCCCGAGCCUAGGGUUUUUGAACAUUCUGUAGUAUGAAAUAUCUGUGUCUCUGAAUCUCUCAAUCCACCGCGGACUUCAAAUCCUUCACUUCUUAAGGGGCCGUCAGCUGGAAAGUUUAUCCCAUAGUUCCUCACAGAAACAUAUUUUUAAUAACCGUAUCUUAAGAAAGAAACGAUGUCUGGAAGAAAUCGAGGACCCCCUCUUCCAUUGAAAGGAGCUCCUCAUGCUGGAUUGCCCCCUGCAGUUCGUGAAGUGCCAUUUGGCAGGGGGGUUGGGCCAAUGCCCCAUCCAGCUCUACUUGAGGAGAUGAGAGAAUCCCAUUUCGGAAUGGGUCCGAGGCCGCUUCCUCCUCAUCCUGCAAUAAUUCAGGAGGGUCUUGAUGCUCAGUAUCAAGAAAUUCAGGGUCUCUUAGUCGAUAACCAGAGGCUAGCUGCCACCCAUGUUGCCCUUAAGCAGGAACUGGAAGCUACCCAGCAUGAGUUGCAAAGAAUGGGUCACUUUGCAGACUCCUUGCGGGCGGAGAAGGAUGGUCAGAUGAGAGAAUUGUAUGAGAAGUCUGUUCAUUUGGAGGUGGAUCUUCGUGGGGUUGAGGCUAUGCGUGCUGAGCUUAUUCAAGUUCGUGCCGAUAUUAAAGAGCUCAGUGUUGGAAGGCAGGACCUGACAGGUCAGGUACAAGCGAUGACACAAGAUUUGGCUAGACUUACAGCAGAUUUGCAACAGGCGCCAGCAUUACGAGCAGAAAUUGAGUCUAUGAAGCAGGAGUUGCAACGUGCAAAAGCAGCCAUUGAGUAUGAGAAGAAAGGAUAUGCAGACAAUUAUGAGCAUGGUCAAGUGAUGGAGAAGAAGCUGCUCUCAAUGGCUCGAGAAUUGGAGAAGCUUCGUGCAGAGAUUGCUAAUGCAGAGAAGAGAGCUCGUGCUGCAGCUGCUGUUGGGAACCCAGGGACAGGCUACAACAUGAAUUAUGGCAAUCCUGAGGCAGGUUAUGCAGGAAAUCUUUAUCCUGCUAGCUAUGGCAUGAAUCCUGCACAGGUGGGUGCAGAAAAUUUCCCCCAUUAUGGACCUGGUCCUGCUUCCUGGAGUGCCUAUGAAAUGCAACGAGCGCAAGGACACAGAUAGACUUUUCUCACUAUCACCCUAAGCUGUGUUAUAACCGCACGGAAGCUAUUUGAACGAUAUUGCAAAAUGUUCAUUGCGCCAAAUGGCAACUCCCUCCCUUAUACAUAGGGAUGGAGAGUGGGGUUUACAACCUGCUGUCUCUAAAAAUCUUCUCCUUCUGCCAUCCAUCAAUCCAUGAGGUUGUUAUCCUGUAAAGUGGCACAAGCUAGAAACCCGAGCUGUUUCAUUCCCUGUGCCACCACUUACCUAGCCUUUAUAGGGGCUGCCUGAGUUCAGUGGCCUGGCUAGAUCAGACUGGUGUAUAGAAUCGUGUCCACGGACGUAUAUCACCAAUAUGGUUUCUAUACAGCAGUGGGUUUUGAUCCGUGCUUCCUGAUCCAUCAUUCUGACUUGUAUUUCUUUCAGUGACGGCCUCACCUCCGUGGCUGCGCACAACAAUGGAAAUCAUCUUUAAAUUUUAAUGCGGAUGUGGAAGUUACUUUGGUUCGAACACCUAUGGGCAUAAUGGGCUGGUUUGUGAAGGCUCCUUUGUCAGUUAACUACAACUACUGAUGGUGAUCAUGACGAGGAUGAUGAGAAUUAAAUAUGAGCUAUUGGUUUUCGGUUUU